rnacentral:rRNA from 1 species
AUGAAGGGGCUAUUGCUUCUGACGAUACGUCAUGUAAAUCUGCAUCAUGAAAUUUAUAUUUAUAUCUAUAUUUGUAUCUGUAGCCCACUAGCUAUUGCUUCCAACUUUUCUACCUAUUUUUAUGUAAAUUUUCUUUUAUUGGGCAGAUUUAAAUACUUUUUAAAAUAUCCAUUUCUUUCCAAUACUAACUCAAAAUCUGACAUAUUAUAUAUGAAAACUCCUCAGAAAAAUGUGCCGAUUUCAAAUAUGCUAUUUUCAUGCAUGGCAAUCAUUUUUUUAAAUCCCAUUUUCCUUCUUUUUUUAAUUAUUUUAUCAGGUAGAUUCCAAUACUUUUUAAAAUAUUGA